AUUGAACGCUGGCGGCAGGCUUAACACAUGCAAGUCGAGCGAGCGGCGGACGGGUGAGUAAUGUCUGGGAAACUGACUGAUGGAGGGGGAUAACUACUGGAAACGGUAGCUAAUACCGCAUACCCUCAGAUGUGCCCAGAUGGGAUUAGCUAGUAGGUGGGGUAAUGGCUAACCUAGGCGACGAUCCCUAGCUGGUCUGAGAGGAUGAAAAGCCACACUGGAACUGAGACGCGGUCCAGACUCGUACGGGAGGCAGCAGUGGGGAAUAUUGCACAAUGGGGGCAAGCCUGAUGCAGCCAUGCCGCGUGUGUGAAGAAGGCCUUCGGGGUGUAAAGCACUGUCGGCGAGGAGGCGUUACCCGCAGAAGAAGCACCGGCUAACUACGUGCCAGCCGCCGCGGUAAUAC
rnacentral:rRNA from 1 species